CCUACGGGUGGCAGCAGUGAGGAAUAUUGGUCAAUGGACGAGAGUCUGAACCAGCCAAGUAGCGUGAAGGAUGACUGCCCUAUGGGUUGUAAACUUCUUUUAUAUGGGAAUAAAAUGUGCCACGUGUGGGAUUUUGUAUGUACCAUCAGAAAAAGGAUCGGCUAACUCCGUGCCAGCAGCCGCGGUAAUACGGAGGAUUCGAGCGUUAUCCGGAUUUAUUGGGUUUAAAGGGAGCGUAGAUGGGUUGUUAAGUCAGUUGUGAAAGUUUGCGGCUCAACCGUGGAAUUGCAUUUGAUACUGGCAGUCUUGAGUACAGUUGAGGUAGGCGGAAUUCGUGGUGUAGCGGUGAAAUGCUUAGAUAUCACGAAGAACCCCGAUUGCGAAGGCAGCUUACUAAACUGUGACUGACGUUGAUGCUCGAAAGUGUGGGUAGCAAACAGGAUUAGAUACCCUAGUAGUC
rnacentral:rRNA from 1 species